rnacentral:rRNA from 1 species
GCAAAACGCGAAGAACCUUACCAGGUCUUGACAUCCUCUGACAACUCUAGAGAUAGAGCGUUCCCCUUCGGGGGACAGAGUGACAGGUGGUGCAUGGUUGUCGUCAGCUCGUGUCGUGAGAUGUUGGGUUGAGUCCCGCAACGAGCGCAACCCUUGAUCUUAGUUGCCAGCAUUUAGUUGGGCACUCUAAGGUGACUGCCGGUGACAAACCGGAGGAAGGUGGGGAUGACGUCAAAUCAUCAUGCCCCUUAUGACCUGGGCUACACACGUGCUACAAUGGAUGGUACAAAGGGCUGCAAGACCGCGAGGUCAAGCCAAUCCCAUAAAACCAUUCUCAGUUCGGAUUGUAGGCUGCAACUCGCCUACAUGAAGCUGGAAUCGCUAGUAAUCGCGGAUCAGCAUGCCGCGGUGAAUACGUUCCCGGGUCUUGUACACACCG